CUUCUUCCCCGCCCGAGAGUUUGAUCCUGGCUCAGAUUGAACGCUGGCGGCAGGCUUAACACAUGCAAGUCGAGCGGAUGACGGGAGCUUGUUCCUUGAUUCAGCGGCGGACGGGUGAGUAAUGCGUAGGAAUAUGCCUGGUAGUGGGGGACAACGUUCCGAAAGGAACGGUAAUACCGCAUACGUCCUACGGGAGAAAGCAGGGGACCUUCGGGCCUUGCGCUUUCAGAUGAGCCUAGGUCGGAUUACAUAGUUGGUGAGGUAAUGGCUCACCAAGGCGAGGAUCCGUAACUGGUGGAGAGGAUGAUCAGUCACACGGAAUUGAGACACGGUCCAGACUCGUACGGGAGGCAGCAGUGGGGAAUAUUGGACAAUGGGCGAAAGCAUGAUCCAGCCAUGCCGCGUGUGUGAAGAAGGUAUUCGGAUUGUAAAGCACUUUAAGUUGGGAGGAAGGGCAGUAAGUUAAUACCUAGCUGUUUGACGUACGACAGAUCGACCCCGCC
rnacentral:rRNA from 1 species